rnacentral:rRNA from 1 species
UAGGGAAUCUUCCACAAUGGACGCAAGUCUGAUGGAGCAACGCCGCGUGAGUGAAGAAGGUUUUCGGAUCGUAAAGCUCUGUUGUUGGUGAAGAAGGAUAGAGGCAGUAACCGGUCUUUAUUUGACGGUAAUCAACCAGAAAGUCACGGCUAACUACGUGCCAGCAGCCGCGGUAAUACGUAGGUGGCAAGCGUUGUCCGGAUUUAUUGGGCGUAAAGCGAGCGCAGGCGGAAUGAUAAGUCUGAUGUGAAAGCCCACGGCUCAACCGUGGAACUGCAUCGGAAACUGUCAUUCUUGAGUGCAGAAGAGGAGAGUGGAACUCCAUGUGUAGCGGUGGAAUGCGUAGAUAUAUGGAAGAACACCAGUGGCGAAGGCGGCUCUCUGGUCUGCAACUGACGCUGAGGCUCGAAAGCAUGGGUAGCGAACAGGAUUAGAUACCCUGGUA